CUACGGGAGGCAGCAGUGGGGAAUUUUGCGCAAUGGGCGAAAGCCUGACGCAGCAAUACCGCGUGAGUGAAGAAGGCCUUUGGGUCGUAAAGCUCUUUUGUAAGGGAAGAUAGUGACGGUACCUUACGAAUAAGCACCGGCUAACUCCGUGCCAGCAGCCGCGGUAAUACGGAGGGUGCAAGCGUUGUUCGGAUUUACUGGGCGUAAAGGGCACGUAGGCGGCAUAGUAAGUUAAGGGUGAAAUCCCGGGGCUCAACUCCGGAACUGCUCUUAAAACUGCUAAGCUAGAGAUAGUCAGAGGCGGGUAGAAUUCCUGGUGUAGAGGUGAAAUUCGUAGAUAUCAGGAGGAAUACCGGUGGCGAAGGCGGCCCGCUGGGGCUAUUCUGACGCUAAGGUGCGAAAGCGUGGGGAGCAAACGGGAUUAGAUACCCCCGUAGUC
rnacentral:rRNA from 1 species